rnacentral:rRNA from 1 species
UUGAUCAUGGCUCAGGACGAACGCUGGCGGCGUGCUUAACACAUGCAAGUGGUGCGACGAACCAGGCUUCGGCCUGGGGCAAAGCCGCGAACGGGUGAGUAACACGUGAGUAAUCUGCCCCGAUGACCGGGACAACCCGAGGAAACUCGGGCUAAUACCGGAUGAUGAGCCUUGGCGUAAGCCUUGUCUCUAAAGGAAGCUUCGGCCUCCGCAUCGGGAGGAGCUCGCGGCCCAUUAGCUUGUUGGUGGGGUAAUGGCCUACCAAGGCAACGAUGGGUAGCUGGUCUGAGAGGACGAUCAGCCACACUGGGASUGACACACGGCCCAGACUCCUACGGGAGGCAGCAGUGGGGAAUCUCGCGCAAUGCSCUAAAGCGUCACGCAGUAGCACCGCGUGGGGCAAGGNGGCCUUUGGGUUGUAAACCCSUUUCAG